rnacentral:rRNA from 1 species
AGAGUUUGAUCCUGGCUCAGAACGAACGCUGGCGGCAGGCUUAACACAUGCAAGUCGAGCGCCCCGCAAGGGGAGCGGCAGACGGGUGAGUAACGCGUGGGAAUCUACCUUUUGCUACGGAAUAGCUCCGGGAAACUGGAAUUAAUACCGUAUGUGCCCUUUGACGGUGGACGUUGGAGGGGAAAGAUUUAUCGGCAAAGGAUGAGCCCGCGUUGGAUUAGCUAGUUGGUGGGGUAAAGGCCUACCAAGGCGACGAUCCAUAGCUGGUCUGAGAGGAUGAUCAGCCACAUUGGGACUGAGACACGGCCCAAACUCCUACGGGAGGCAGCAGUGGGGAAUAUUGGACAAUGGGCGCAAGCCUGAUCCAGCCAUGCCGCGUGUGUGAUGAAGGCCUUAGGGUUGUAAAGCACUUUCACCGGUGAAGAUAAUGACGGUAACCGGAGAAGAAGCCCCGGCUAACUUCGUG